rnacentral:rRNA from 1 species
GACAGAGGGUGCAAACGUUGUUCGGAAUUACUGGGCGUAAAGCGCGUGUAGGCGGCUCUGCAAGUCGGGUGUGAAAUCCCAUGGCUCAACCAUGGAAGUGCACUCGAAACUGCAGGGCUAGAGUCCUGGAGAGGAAGGUGGAAUGCUUGGUGUAGAGGUGAAAUUCGUAGAUAUCAAGCGGAACACCGGUGGCGAAGGCGGCCUUCUGGACAGUGACUGACGCUGAGACGCGAAAGCGUGGGGAGCAAACAGG